ACGGGUGAGAAUCCCGUCCACCGAUUGACUAAGGUUUCCAGAGGAAGGCUCGUCCGCUCUGGGUUAGUCGGGUCCUAAGCUGAGGCCGACAGGCGUAGGCGAUGGAUAACAGGUUGAUAUUCCUGUACCACCUAUAAUCGUUUUAAUCGAUGGGGGGACGCAGUAGGAUAGGCGAAGCGUGCGAUUGGAUUGCACGUCUAAGCAGUAAGGCUGAGUAUUAGGCAAAUCCGGUACUCGUUAAGGCUGAGCUGUGAUGGGGAGAAGACAUUGUGUCUUCGAGUCGUUGAUUUCACACUGCCGAGAAAAGCCUCUAGAUAGAAAAUAGGUGCCCGUACCGCAAACCGACACAGGUAGUCAAGAUGAGAAUUCUAAGGUGAGCGAGCGAACUCUCGUUAAGGAACUCGGCAAAAUGACCCCGUAACUUCGGGAGAAGGGGUGCUCUUUAGGGUUAACGCCCAGAAGAGCCGCAGUGAAUAGGCCCAAGCGACUGUUUAUCAAAAACACAGGUCUCUGCUAAACCGUAAGGUGAUGUAUAGGGGCUGACGCCUGCCCGGUGCUGGAAGGUUAAGAGGAGUGGUUAGCUUCUGCGAAGCUACGAAUCGAAGCCCCAGUAAACGGCGGCCGUAACUAUAACGGUCCUAAGGUAGCGAAAUUCCUUGUCGGGUAAGUUCCGACCCGCACGAAAGGCGUAACGAUUUGGGCACUGUCUCAACGAGAGACUCGGUGAAAUCAUAGUACCUGUGAAGAUGCAGGUUACCCGCGACAGGACGGAAAGACCCCGUGGAGCUUUACUGUAGCCUGAUAUUGAAAUUCGGCACAGCUUGUACAGGAUAGGUAGGAGCCUUUGAAACGUGAGCGCUAGCUUACGUGGAGGCGCUGGUGGGAUACUACCCUAGCUGUGUUGGCUUUCUAACCCGCACCACUUAUCGUGGUGGGAGACAGUGUCAGGCGGGCAGUUUGACUGGGGCGGUCGCCUCCUAAAAGGUAACGGAGGCGCUCAAAGGUUCCCUCAGAAUGGUUGGAAAUCAUUCAUAGAGUGUAAAGGCAUAAGGGAGCUUGACUGCGAGACCUACAAGUCGAGCAGGGUCGAAAGACGGACUUAGUGAUCCGGUGGUUCCGCAUGGAAGGGCCAUCGCUCAACGGAUAAAAGCUACCCCGGGGAUAACAGGCUUAUCUCCCCCAAGAGUUCACAUCGACGGGGAGGUUUGGCACCUCGAUGUCGGCUCAUCGCAUCCUGGGGCUGUAGUCGGUCCCAAGGGUUGGGCUGUUCGCCCAUUAAAGCGGUACGCGAGCUGGGUUCAGAACGUCGUGAGACAGUUCGGUCCCUAUCCGUCGUGGGCGUAGGAAAUUUGAGAGGAGCUGUCCUUAGUACGAGAGGACCGGGAUGGACAUACCUCUGGUGUACCAGUUGUCGUGCCAACGGCAUAGCUGGGUAGCUAUGUGUGGACGGGAUAAGUGCUGAAAGCAUCUAAGCAUGAAGCCCCCCUCAAGAUGAGAUUUCCCAA
rnacentral:rRNA from 1 species